AUUCCUUUCAAAUUGUAUUACUACUAGAAUAUAUGGCAAUGCCACUAAUCGUUUGUAUUUGAAGAUUUUUGCAUGUUAAAUUUCUUGCGCUUGUGCUGGGAGUAAGUUAUCCAAGUGACCGGCUGAAAUGAUGGAUAAAAGUCGAGUUGAUGAUACUCAAAUUUAAAAGAAACUCAAUUUCCGUAGCUUUAGAUGUGGGAUUUGUGAAAUGGCAGACAGAUGAGGGCCCUAUGCUUAAGGAGUUGAGGCCUAGUUAUGCCAAAUUAUUACAGUUAUAUCCAUUCAAUUUUCUCGCAACAUUAAUACAAUACAAACUUUAGUUCUCACUGCGUGGCUGGAAAUUACCCAGAUUCAUUCUUUGAGCAGCCUAUCUGAAGUAUGGCAGUUUGUUACCUUGUAGUCGACUCGCUGAUGAAUUCAUGCACCAGGUCCAGGCCUGCCUCGCGACCGGUGGAUAUGUUGUUUGAAUUGUAAAUGCAUGCCUUUAUAAUGAAAAUGUUGUCUGAAAUUGUUUCGGGUAGAAUGCAGAUCCAUAUCAAUUUGGCAAAUAAGCAGUUGCUUUUCCAAUCGUUG
rnacentral:misc_RNA from 1 species